rnacentral:rRNA from 1 species
UACGUAGGUGGCAAGCGUUGUCCGGAUUUACUGGGCGUAAAGAGCGCGCAGGCGGUCGUUCAAGUCGCGUGUGAAAGCCCCCGGCUCAACUGGGGAGGGUCACGCGAUACUGAUCGACUCGAAGGCAGGAGAGGGUAGUGGAAUUCCCGGUGUAGUGGUGAAAUGCGUAGAUAUCUGGAGGAACACCGGUGGCGAAGGCGGCAUCCUGGACCACGACUGACGCUGAGUGAGCGAAAGCCAGGGGAGCAAACGGG